rnacentral:rRNA from 1 species
CCUACGGGUGGCAGCAGUGAGGAAUAUUGGUCAAUGGACGCAAGUCUGAACCAGCCAUGCCGCGUGCAGGAUGACGGCUCUAUGAGUUGUAAACUGCUUUUGUACGAGGGUAAUAUCAGAAACGUGUAUCUGCUUGAAAGUAUCGUACGAAUAAGGAUCGGCUAACUCCGUGCCAGCAGCCGCGGUAAUACGGAGGAUGCGAGCGUUAUCCGGAUUUAUUGGGUUUAAAGGGUGCGUAGGCGGGCUGUUACGUCAGCGGUAAAAGCCCGGGGCUCAACCCCGGCGAGCCGUUGAAACUGGCUGUCUUGAGAUGUCGAGAGGUAUGCGGAAUGCGCAGUGUAGCGGUGAAAUGCUUAGAUAUUGCGCAGAACUCCGAUUGCGAAGGCAGCAUACCGGCGGCGAUCUGACGCUGAGGCACGAAAGCGUGGGUAUCGAACAGGAUUAGAUACCCGGGUAGUC